AUUGAACGCUGGCGGCAUGCUUUACACAUGCAAGUCGAACGGUAACAGCACUUCGGUGGCUGACGAGUGGCGAACGGGUGAGUAAUACAUCGGAACGUGCCUAGUAGUGGGGGAUAACUACUCGAAAGAGUAGCUAAUACCGCAUGAGAUCUAAGGAUGAAAGCAGGGAACCUUCGGGCUUUGCGCUACUAGAGCGGCUGAUGGCAGAUUAGGUAGUCGGUGGGAUAAAAGCUUACCAAGCCGACGAUCUGUAGCAGGUCUGAGAGGACGACCCGCCACAUGGUGACUGAGACACGGCCCAGACUCCGGCGGGGGGCAGCAGUGGGGAAUCUUGGACAAUGCACGCAAGCCUGAUCUAGCAAUGUCGCGUGCAGGAUGAAGGCCUUCGGGUGGGAAACUGCUUUUGUACGGAACGAUGAGCCCUCUUCUUAUACAGGAGGGUCAUGACGGUACCGGAAGAAUAAGCACCGGCUAACUACGUG
rnacentral:rRNA from 1 species